UUUGUGGGGAAUGAAGCCUGGUCCGACGAAACUAACUUCAUAAGUGAAUAUGACUCGUUCAUGAAACGACGAUGAAAGGAUUAGGAAUUGGGUUUGCGAAAUUGGUUUCAUCGAGCCAAACAACAUUCCCCUCAAA
rnacentral:pre_miRNA from 1 species